rnacentral:rRNA from 1 species
ACGGGCGAGUAACGCGUGGGAACGUGCCCUUCGGUUCGGAAUAACCCAGGGAAACUUGAGCUAAUACCGGAUACGCCCCUUUGGGGAAAGGUUUACUGCCGAAGGAUCGGCCCGCGUCUGAUUAGCUAGUUGGUGAGGUUAUGGCUCACCAAGGCGACGAUCAGUAGCUGGUCUGAGAGGAUGAUCAGCCACACUGGGACUGAGACACGGCCCAGACUCCUACGGGAGGCAGCAGUGGGGAAUAUUGGACAAUGGGGGCAACCCUGAUCCAGCCAUGCCGCGUGAGUGAUGACGGCCUUAGGGUUGUAAAGCUCUUUUCUCCGGGACGAUAAUGACGGUACCGGAGGAAUAAGCCCCGGCUAACUUCGUGCCAGCAGCCGCGGUAAUACGAAGGGGGCUAGCGUCGCUCGGAAUCACUGGGCGUAAAGGGCGCGUAGGCGGCUGAUUUAGUCGAGGGUGAAAGCCCGUGGCUCAACCACGGAAUGGCCUUCGAUACUGAUUGGCUUGAGACCGGAAGAGGACAGCGGAACUGCGAGUGUAGAGGUGAAAUUCGUAGA